AGCGACUGAGUAGAAUCAGCCAAGUGGAAAAUUACAAAAAGUAGGAAGGGGCUGCUUGGGCCAUGUGAUUAGUCCCUCUAGGUUUGAUAACUGGAACUAAUGGAAGUUGGACUCCUGCCCUUCUACGAAACUGGGAGACAGGCAUUUCUUCAGACAUUGCUGGAACAAAUACUGAAUUCUUUUGGAAGCUGAGUUUGCAGGCAGCUUUACACAUGGAUAACCUUAUACUUUGACAGAUAAAGGAUAAAGGCCCAAGAGACCAUCUAGCUUCAGAUGACCAUGCAACAAAGGCUUCAGAUGACCAUGCAGCCAAUUCCAGGUAAAGACACCACUCCUGGCCAUCAAGGAGCUACCCUGCCUCCACUCAACAGAGCAGAGUGAGAGUUCUGUGAUCCUCAGUAGGUAGGGACUGCACCCCAAGCCAGCAUGAAGCAGCUCCAGAAGAAAGAUCAUCUGUCCCUCUGCCUCCCAUAAAGAUUUAUGAGGAUCACAUCUCUCAGUGGGGAAAUGAGUCAAGAAAAUAGUGUCUGGAGGCAGGUAACAUAAGGCCAAUUCACACUUCAGCUAUGACAGGAAAUAUUCUUUCCAUAGGGUGUACGCCAAGUAAAUGACUUUGUAACUUUACUUCGUCCUCUUCAUUUACAUAGAGCAUAAAACAAGUAACCAAUGGAAACCCCUAGAGCGUAUUUAAACCGCCACAAAUUCGGUAAUGGGGCCCUAUGCUCAUGCCCACUCCCACACUGUGAAGUGUACUUUCAUUUUGAAUAAAUAUCUCCUUUUGCUGCUUCAUUCUU